AUGUGGCUGUUUGACAAGCAUGGAGGCAGCUUCUUCUGCCCCACCCUCCUUCAUGGACCAAGGAAGGAAGAGAAGAGCAGCGAGAACAAGUCUUUGGCUCUCCAGAGUGAACCUAGGGGAGCCCAGGACACAAAUUCGGAAGCUGAAUUUCUCAGCGUAGCCUUUCAGAUCCUGUUUGAUACACCCAUAGUGGUCACUCCAAAGGUCAUCAGAAAUGAUGAGGACCUCAUUAGCUUUGUCAACAUCCAAGGUCCUAUCUGCUGUGGAAGAAAAAUGAGUGGCUCAGCAAACGGGCAGACUGAAGAUGAACUCUUCAUUUUGCAAAGGCUCCAGCAUCUCAUUCACUUAAACUUCAUUAAUUCUUUCCUCCUAAAUCAGAAAUCUUCCUACGGGACUUCGGGUGGCGGAGGCAGCACAGAAGAAGCAUUUAUGACCUUCUACAGUGAGGUGAAACAAAUAGAGAAGAGAGAUUCUGUUCUAACAUCCAAAAAUCAAAUUGAAAGAUUGACCCGUCCUGGUUCCUCUUACUUCAAUUUGAACCCAUUUGAGGUUCUUCAGAUAGAUCCUGAAAGUCACAGAUGAAGAAAUAAAAAAGAGGUUUCGGCAGUUAUCCAUACUGGUGCAUCCUGACAAGAAUCAAGAUGAUGCUGACAGAGCACAAAAGGCUUUUGAAGCUGUGGACAAAGCUUACAAGUUGCUACUGGAUCAGGAACAAAAGAAGAGGGCCCUGGAUGUAAUUCAGGCAGGAAAAGAAUACGUGGAACACACUGUGAAAGAGCGAAAAAAACAAUUAAAGAAGGAAGGAAAACCUACAAUUGUAGAGGAGGAUGAUCCUGAGUUGUUCAAACAAGCAGUAUAUAAACAGACCAUGAAACUCUUUGCUGAGCUGGAAAUUAAAAGGAAAGAGAGAGAAGCCAAAGAGAUGCAUGAAAGGAAACGACAAAGGGAAGAAGAGAUUGAAGCUCAAGAAAAAGCCAAACGAGAAAGAGAGUGGCAGAAAAACUUUGAGGAAAGUCGAGAUGGUCGUGUGGACAGCUGGAGAGACUUUCAAGCAAAUACAAAGGGAAAGAAAGAGAAGAAAAAUCGGACCUUCCUGAGACCACCGAAAGUAAAAAUGGAGCAGCGUGAGUGACCAUCUAGGGUCACAGCCACAGAAUCUUCCCCAGCUGUCUCCCUGCUUUGAAGGACUCAUUCUUUCCUCCCACUUCUACCCCAACAUAGAGUAGUAUUUGCUUUUUAGUCCAUUUUGUUUUCAAUCCAAUUUAAUAUUGAUCAGAGUAAUUCUUUUGUACAUUGAAAUGAGGGGCUUGGUUAAAAAAAGACCUUCCCCUCCGCCCUGCCCUUAGAACAACCAGAUUGGAAGGUACCACCAUGGGUGCUGCCUUCUCUUCCCACAGCCAGUAACUUAAUGUUUUGUACUUCACUGAAUUGUGAUGGUUAGAAACUUCGCAUAUAAUUUGUAGAAAUCAUCCAGUUAAACAAAUUGCUUAAAAUGGUGUUGUGUGACUUCAGAGUCAAGCCUGAGCCAGCUAAGCGAUUCCCUUCAGCUCAGUUGCUUGCUUCUGGGUGCCAUUCUUGAAAGCUCCAAAUCAGGCAGGGAAGGAGCGUGGGCACACAGCAGUCACUUGAUGCCCCGGUGUCCUGAUGUUUGGUGUGUACCCUCCUGUCUGGCUGACCAAUCAGCGUGGCCCUGAGCCACCUAAACCUAUUCACUUUCCAAAGAACUAGCCAUCCUCCAUUCAAUACCAUGGUGUCCUAUUCUGUCUGCAUUCAUUAGUGGUAAUAUUCUUUA